UCUUAAUCUUGUCCUUCUUCACCAUAUGCUCCCUUCACUCUCUCGUCUUCUUCUUCUUCUUUUCCUUCCACCACUCUCAGUCGCUCUCUCUAGCCAAAACUCAGUGAAAUUAAUCUUCACAACUUUUAUUUACAAAGCUAGACACUUCUUAGUUUUUUAUUUACCCUUCACUAAAACCCUAAACUUGGUUUCUUAUAUAUCUCGUGACUCUUGUUUCUCCGUCCAAUCUCUCUCCUUCUCCACUAACCAACUGUGUUCUUUAUGUAAAACUUCACUCAUAGGCCAGUUUCUUUGGUUUCCAUAAAAAUCUAAGAUUCCAAUUGGUUUUAUUUUCCCGUUCUCUGCUAUUUCAUUAGAUGGUGAACAUUUGUAAGAAGCUUUAUUUCAUCUUCCUCUUUCCCUAAAGUUUUGACCUUUUUUUUUUUAAUUUCUUCAAUUUUGUAUUUAUACAACAGAAAAGGGUUCUUCAGAGGGUUUAUUUUAGGUGUUUAAAAAAUUUAUUAAAAACACAAUUCAUUUUCAUUUUCCUCCUAAACAAAAGAGAAACCUUUAUGUCAUCACUCUCUGUCCUCCACCUAAACAGAGUAUAGUCUCAUACUGUCUUCGAAUCUCGAGUUUGCUGUUUGAUUUUCUCGGGAAAAAGGCAUAUCUUUUUUUUUCAUUAAGCCAAGAAAAAUGUCGGCUUGCUUAAGCAGCGGCGGAGGAGCCGCCGCAUAUAGUUUCGAGCUAGAAAAGAAGAAAUCACCACCACCACCACCACCGUCAAGCUCGACGACAACGAGAGCUACUUCACCAUCAUCAACAAUCUCCGAAUCAUCCAACUCUCCGCUCGCAAUCUCAACGAGAAAGCCAAGAACGCCGCGAAAACGACCAAACCAGACUUACAACGAAGCGGCGGCUCUUCUCUCCACCGCUUACCCCAACCUCUUCUCCUCAUCCUCAAACAACCUGUACUCCAAGAGGAAGACUCAUCCCAAUCCUCAUCUCUACGGAUUCGCCGCUAAAUCUCCUCUUCUCAGUGACAACGACGACGCUUCCGAGCUUCUUCUCGAAUCCAUCGAGGAGCCAGACUUUCUGUUUCAAGCGCGAUCGGAGUACUUCUCCGAGUUGAAGGAGGUGAACGUGAAUCAAUUUGAAUUCUCCGACGAGUUCGAUGCGGAGUCGAUUCUGGAUGAGGAGAUCGAAGAAGGGAUCGAUAGCAUAAUGGGAAUCGUCGAAUCCAAUUCCGGAGAGAAUCGUGGCCAUCUAAUUAGCCGGUUAGAGCAGAUGAUGAAGAUGAAUCGAAUAGGAUUCAAAUUCGCCGGAAACUUCCCGUUGGGACUUGGACUGAGAAGCGCUCUCAGGGAACACAACGACGCGAACUGGAUGAGAUUUCACACCGUCGAUUUCGAACAGAUCUCGCCGCGGAUCCAAUCCACCGUUGAGGAGGAGAAGAUCGAAAGUAAGAAGUUGAUCGGAGAGAAGAGCAAGAAGAAGAAAAAGAAGAAAGUCCCCGCGGCGGCUAAGACGGUGCCAAUGACGGAAACGUGUAGAGAUGACACGGAGGAGAAAUCAGGUCAGUUAAUGUUGAAGCUCGACUACGACGGCGUUUUAGAAGCUUGGUCUGAGAAAGAGUCGCCGUUCUCCGAUGAGAUUCUGGGCUCGGAAGCUGCCGGAGCCGAUGUCAAUAUUAGCUCAGAUAAAUUUGUUCGGAGACAGUGGAAUACGGGAAGCAAGCGUUUUGAGGUACAAAGAGAAACGUCGAACUCGGCUCUUCUCCAAGAAAAUUAGAUACCAAGUUCGCAAACUUAAUGCAGAUCAACGUCCUCGAAUGAAGGUAUCUCCAUCCACCUUAAUCCGUGGUAAAAACAUGGACGGUUCGUGAGAAGGCCCAAUGUUAGUCCUCCAAGUGGACAAAGAUAGCAAGGAAAGCAGAGCCAAGAUUCACUCAUUUUAUCUUUUCCAUUCCUUUUUAGUUUUGUAUUAUCUUUUGUGGUUGUUUUAGUUGAAAUUUUGUCACCCUCAUUUUAUUCCUUAGUUUAUGGUCCCUUUCGUUUAUAAUGUAAUUUUUCCUUAAAUAAGGAUCAUGAAGGAGAUGUUAGAUGAGAGAAAUUGAGGGAUCAAAACGAAUAAAAGUUUUUCUUUUUGGUUUUUGCACAAAGAAAUGUAUUGAACUCUUUCAUUUUAUAAAACUAUAAUAAUAGCAA